rnacentral:tRNA from 11 species
CUUAGCUCUGUGGAUAGAGCGGCUGAUUGUAAAUCCACAGGACCCAUGCUCGAGUCCCACCAAGC